AUGCGAAACCGCGAGGUCAAGCAAAUCCCAAAAAGCGUCGCUCAGUUCGGAUUGCAGGCUGCAACUCGCCUGCAUGAAGUCGGAAUCGCUAGUAAUCGCGGGUCAGCAUACCGCGGUGAAUGUGUUCCUGAGCCUUGUACACACCGCCCGUCAAGCCACGAAAGUGGGGGGCACCCGAAGUCGCCGAGCUAACCCGCAAGGGAAGCAAGCGCCGAAGGUGACCUUCGCGAUUGGGACUAAGUCGUAACAAGGUAGCCGUAGGGGAACCUGCGGCUGGAUCACCUCCUUUCUAAGGA
rnacentral:rRNA from 1 species